rnacentral:lncRNA from 1 species
AUCACCAGCUUACCGGCGCUGGAAGACUCAUUCAUGACCGCUCAUCGAAAGCCCUCCGCCGCUGCCGCCCCCCCGUUAGACGACGACCUCUUCUCCUAUUACUUCUCCUUCUUCAACGACGGUGCCGCCCCCUCGGCCAUGGACCCCAACCCCGGGAAGCGCCCUCGGGCGGAUGACCCCUCGUCGAGCCGGCGGCACGUCUUUUCGAAGCCCUCCGAGUCCUCCUCUCCCUCGCCGUCGUCCGCUGACGAGGAGGACGAGGCGCUACAGAGGCCGGAGCUGCUGCCGCCGCAGCCCCAGCAGCAGCAGCGCCGGGUAUGGGUCAGGGACCGGUCCAGCGACUGGUG